rnacentral:piRNA from 1 species
UCAUAGGCGCCAUUUCAUUAGCUUUGGGU